rnacentral:tRNA from 1 species
GUAGCUCAGUCGGUAGAGCAACGGACUGAAAAUCCGUGUGUCGGCG